rnacentral:snRNA from 1 species
GGAUGUGAGAGCGAUCUGGCUGCGACAUCUGUCACCCCAUUGAUCGCCAGGGUUGAUUCGGCUGAUCUGGCUGGCUAGGCGGGUGUCCCCCUCCUCCCUCACCGAUCCAUGUGCGUCCCUCCCGAAGCUGCGCGCUCGGUCGAAGAGGACGACCUUCCCCCCCCCGAGGAGAGGACCGGUCUUCGGUCAAGGGUAUACGAGUAGCUGUGCUCCCCUGCUAGAACCUCCAAACAAACUCUCAAUUCACAAUAUACACGCUGCUCAGCUGUCAGUCCCUUAGUAGCCAUCUGCUUAUCAGG